GAACGCUGGCGGCGUGCUUAACACAUGCAAGUCGAGCGGAAAGGCCACUUCGGUGGUACUCGAGCGGCGAACGGGUGAGUAACACGUGAGUAAUCUGCCCCCCACUUUGGGAUAGCCACCGGAAACGGUGAUUAAUACCGGAUAUGACCCUUGACCGCAUGGUUGUGGGUGGAAAGUUUUUCGGUGGGGGAUGUGCUCGCGGCCUAUCAGCUUGAUGGUGGGGUAAUGGCCUACCAUGGCUUCGACGGGUAGCCGGCCUGAGAGGGUGACCGGCCACACUGGGACUGAGACACGGCCCAGACUCCUACGGGAGGCAGCAGUGGGGAAUAUUGGACAAUGGGCGGAAGCCUGAUCCAGCAACGCCGCGUGAGGGAUGACGGCCUUCGGGUUGUAAACCUCUUUCAGUACCGACGAAGCGAAAGUGACGGUAGGUACAGAAGAAGCACCGGCCAACUACGU
rnacentral:rRNA from 1 species